UGAAGGAAAAAACUACAAACCAGGUGGACUGUGACGUGUUCAGUUAUGCAACAUCCGUCACAUUUACUUUCGGUUUGAAUUUACCUGUUCAGGUGUGGCUCCAGUCCGUUUGUCGGGCCUCAGUCUGUUGUUUAAAUUUUCUUCUUCAACUCUUUGGAUCGUUUGAACAAACUUGGAAUCUGCAGACCUGAUCAGAUCCAAACAUCCCAGUUUCAGGAGUCACUGGUUUCAUCUGUGUCAUUGUUCCAGCUGCUGAGGUCAGAAUCCAGAAACCUGUAAAACCUGGAGGUUGAAUGUUCAGGUUUUCUCCUCCAAACAUCCAACAAGCUGCCAACCCUUGUUCUUGUUUCUUAGUUUUUAUUUUUGUUUGCCAUAAUUCCAUGAACCCAAACAAUAAUUGCUGUUUAGUGCUAAAGAGAAAAAGUGGUUAGAGAUUUUUACAGGACCAGCAGAUGCUGACCUUUGACCUGCUAUGGAAGGACUUAGUUUUUGACUCACUGUUUUUUGGUUCUGAGUUCAUUUUAAGAGCUUCUGAGGAACAAAUGAGUUUUUAUUCAUGUGCUGGUAAAUGAACAGUAGAACUGGUUCUGAUAACUUUUUACCAUCACUGACAUAUUUGGAUAAUUUAAAAACACUUCAUCUGUUUAAUAAUCAGACAUCAUUCAGGUUGUAGUUUUACCACCAGAGGGAGACAAAUCCCCACCAAUGAAGAUUUCAGUUGGUUCUAACAGGUUCUGGUUCCAUUAGACCUGAACAGAACCUGGAUCAGCAGAAUAACAGCAGCCGAAUGUUUGUGUUCAAACUGGGAGUCAUGAGUAGAUUUUCUGUCUUCAGACGUCAACAGAUAAACUUUCCUCUAACAGUUCUCAGUCUGACCAGUCAAACCAGUUUGGUCUCAUUUCUACUCAGAUUACUUUCUGUUUAAACUCACCUGUUAAGGUGAGGCACCAGGCUGGUUCUGUUGGGUCUCAGUUUGUUGAUCACAUAUUCUUGUUCAACUCUUUGGAUCGUCUGAACAAACUGUGAAGGUAGAAAGUGUGUGUGAGCUGAUGUGAAUUCAGCAGCAUGGAUCAGUG